CCUACGGGAGGCAGCAGUGGGGAAUAUUGGGCAAUGGGCGCAAGCCUGACCCAGCAACGCCGCGUGAAGGAAGAAGGCUUUCGGGUUGUAAACUUCUUUUCUCAGGGACGAAGAAAGUGACGGUACCUGAGGAAUAAGCCAUGGCUAACUACGUGCCAGCAGCCGCGGUAAUACGUAGGUGGCAAGCGUUAUCCGGAUUUACUGGGUGUAAAGGGAGUGUAGGCGGGAAAGCAAGUCAGAUGUGAAAACCAUGGGCUCAACCUGUGGCCUGCAUUUGAAACUGUUUUUCUUGAGUACUGGAGAGGCAGACGGAAUUCCUAGUGGAGCGGUGAAAUGCGUAGAUAUUAGGAGGAACACCAGUGGCGAAGGCGGUCUGCUGGACAGCAACUGACGCUGAGGCGCGAAAGCGUGGGGAGCAAACAGGAUUAGAUACCCCAGUAGUC
rnacentral:rRNA from 1 species